CCGGCACGUGGCAGGUGUGCAGUCCAUUGCUUUCGUCUCGUGGGGAGAGACAGGUUUCAGGGUCAGACUGACGGGUACGAGUCCCCAUUUCAUCUCUUACCGCCUCUAGAGUCCCAGAUACCAUCUCAUCAAGGAAGCUUUCCCGGACCCCUCCCUGCCAAGAUGGCGCCCGCAUCAGCACCGAUUCUGCUGCCCCACGACAGUGUUUUCAUUCGUCAUUCUUGCCACCAGCCCUGUUCUCAGCUGUCUCACCACCACCUAGUGCAAUGAAAGCCCAGCACCUUCUGCUUGAUAGGGUUUCCAAGGAGAGCGGUGGACUGAGCUGCAAAGAAGUUUCCCUGGCCCCAGGAGCUGCUGACCUGCGGGGACCCCAGCCACAGGGUCCUGGGCGUGACAAGGUGGGUGCAUGAGGCUGCGGAGGGACAUUGGGAUUUUCAUGGAAACUUCAACCCACAGUGACCACUUGCAUGGGACGACAGUGCCUCCUGGUGGUUGAUUCAUGGAACUCUCCAGCAGCUGUUCUGUAAAGCCCAAAGGAUUAAGCUCUCAAGAGCUUCUAUUUUUGGUUCCCAAUAUUUCCAUAAUGAAAUGCCUACAGGAGCAGCCAGAGGGCUUCUCAAAGGGCCCGAGAGCUGCACGGCUGAACUCCCGUGAUCUGCAGCUAUCUGCCCUCCAGCGGUCAGACCGGCGCCUUGCUCUCAGGUGCGGGUCUCUUUUCCACUGGGUUAGACCCAAGGGUCUCAGGACAGUGGCUCUGUUCUCCGUGACGAGUCUGGCCUCAGAGGGAAUGCCGUGUGCACAUUCAGCGUGACGUGUUGGAAAGAACACUGGGUCCAGGGUCAGGAGGCUUGGGUGCUCGCCCCACGUCAGCCGCUAACUCACAGCGAGAAAAUAAUCACGGUGAGAGCUGUGUUGAUUCGGUAUUUACUGAACCAGCCACUGCAACAGGAGCUUUAGGUACGCUGGUCCUCACAACACACCUCUGAGGUUGGGGCUAUUAUUUCCAUGUUAGAGGGGAAGAAAUCAAGACAUGGAGAGGUUAAGUAAGCUCACAAUGUGGGGGCG